GUAGGUGGCAAGCGUUGUCCGGAAUUAUUGGGCGUAAAGCGCGCGCAGGCGGUUUUUUUAAGUCUGAUGUGAAAGCCCACGGCUCAACCGUGGAGGGUCAUUGGAAACUGGAGAACUUGAGUACAGAAGAGGAAAGCGGAAUUCCACGUGUAGCGGUGAAAUGCGUAGAGAUGUGGAGGAACACCAGUGGCGAAGGCGGCUUUCUGGUCUGUAACUGACGCUGAGGCGCGAAAGCGUGGGGAGCAAACAGGGAUUAGAUACCCUGGUAGUCCACGCCGUAAACGAUGAGUGCUAAGUGUUAGGGGGGUUUCCCGCCCCCUUAGUGCUGCAGCUAACGCAUUAAGCACUCCGCCUGGGGAGUACGGCCGCAAGGCUG
rnacentral:rRNA from 1 species